UACGUAGGGUGCAAGCGUUGUCCGGAAUUAUUGGGCGUAAAGAGCUCGUAGGCGGUUUGUUGCGUCGGCUGUGAAAUCCCGAGGCUCAACCUCGGGUCUGCAGUCGAUACGAGCAAACUAGAGUGUUGCAGGGGAGACUGGAAUUCCUGGUGUAGCGGUGAAAUGCGCAGAUAUCGGGAAGAACACCCGGUGGCGAAGGCGGGUCUCUGGGACCGGUACUGACGCUGAGACGCGAAAGCGUGGGGAGCGAACAGG
rnacentral:rRNA from 1 species